CUUUUAAUCAAUUGGUCGCAGGUUCGAAUCCUGCACGACCCACCAAUGCUUAGGUGAGCAGUAGUAGUAAGCGUAAAGGAUAACGUUGCGACAGCAACGGCCCGUAGGGCGAGGCGAAGCCGAGUCAUCCUGCACGACCCACCA
rnacentral:sRNA from 1 species